rnacentral:rRNA from 1 species
GACGAACGCUGGCGGCGUGCUUAACACAUGCAAGUCGAACGGAAAGGCCCUGCUUGCAGGGUGCUCGAGUGGCGAACGGGUGAGUAACACGUGGGUGAUCUGCCCCUUACUUUGGGAUAAGCCUGGGAAACUGGGUCUAAUACUGGAUAGGACCAUGCUGUAGGUGGUGUGGUGGAAAGAUUAGUUUCGGUAAGGGAUGAGCUCGCGGCCUAUCAGCUUGUUGGUGGGGUAAUGGCCUACCAAGGCGUCGACGGGUAGCCGGCCUGAGAGGGUGGACGGCCACAUUGGGACUGAGAUACGGCCCAGACUCCUACGGGAGGCAGCAGUGGGGAAUAUUGCACAAUGGGCGCAAGCCUGAUGCAGCGACGCCGCGUGGGGGAUGACGGCCUUCGGGUUGUAAACUCCUUUCAGCCAUGACGAAGCCCUUGUGGUGACGGUAGUGGUAGAAGAAGCACCGGCUAACUACGUGCCAGCAGCCGCGGUAAUACGUAGGGUGCGAGCGUUGUCCGGAAUUACUGGGCGUAAAGAGCUCGUAGGUGGUCUGUCGCGUCAUUUGUGAGAGCCCGGGGCUUAACUCCGGGUUGGCAGGUGAUACGGGCAUGACUGGAGUACUGUAGGGGAGACUGGAAUUCCUGGUGUAGCGGUGAAAUGCGCAGAUAUCAGGAGGAACACCGGUGGCGAAGGCGGGUCUCUGGGCAGUAACUGACGCUGAGGAGCGAAAGCAUGGGUAGCGAACAGG